AGAGUUUGAUCCUGGCUCAGGACGAACGCUGGCGGCGUGCUUAACACAUGCAAGUCGAGCGGAAAGGCCCUUCGGGGUACUCGAGCGGCGAACGGGUGAGUAACACGUGAGCAACCUGCCCUUAGCUUUGGGAUAACCCUCGGAAACGGGGGCUAAUACCGAAUGUUCACUACUUGUCGCAUGGUGGGUGGUGGAAAGUUUUUCGGCUAGGGAUGGGCUCGCGGCCUAUCAGCUUGUUGGUGGGGUGAUGGCCUACCAAGGCGACGACGGGUAGCCGGCCUGAGAGGGCGACCGGCCACACUGGGACUGAGACACGGCCCAGACUCCUACGGGAGGCAGCAGUGGGGAAUAUUGCACAAUGGGCGAAAGCCUGAUGCAGCGACGCCGCGUGAGGGAUGACGGCCUUCGGGUUGUAAACCUCUUUCAGCUCCGACGAAGCGAAAGUGACGGUAGGGGCAGAAGAAGCGCCGGCCAACUACGUGCCAGCAGCCGCGGUAAGACGUAGGGCGCGAGCGUUGUCCGGAUUUAUUGGGCGUAAAGAGCUCGUAGGCGGCUUGUCGCGUCGACUGUGAAAACCCGUGGCUCAACCAUGUGGUCUGCAGUCGAUACGGGCAGGCUAGAAUUCGGUAGGGGAGACUGGAAUUCCUGGUGUAGCGGUGAAAUGCGCAGAUAUCAGGAGGAACACCGGUGGCGAAGGCGGGUCUCUGGGCCGAUAUUGACGCUGAGGAGCGAAAGCGUGGGGAGCGAACAGGAUUAGAUACCCUAGUAGUCC
rnacentral:rRNA from 1 species